GUAGUCAUGGCCGAGUGGUUAAGGUGAUGGACUCGAAAUCCAUUGGGUUAUUCCUGCGCUGGUUCAAAUCCUCCUGACUACG